rnacentral:lncRNA from 1 species
GCUAAACUGAGGAAUGGGCCGAGAAGGGCAAACUGUAACUACAGUUGCUUUUAGCUCAUGUUUAAAUACAGGAUAUACUCUGUUUUCCUUCUGUACAGGAGAGGGAACUCUUCACAGAUGGGAGGCAUUUCCUGUGAGCCUGUAAUUGUGUAAGCUGGGAGUAAAGAGGAUGCCCAGGUAUACAUUUUUGGCUUUGUUUUUGCUGGUGGUGAUUAUGGUGGUGGCUUUUGUUUUUUUCAGCCAUAAGGCUAGUAAGAAUUUUUUCUCCUAAUUAAAAUA